rnacentral:sRNA from 2 species
GCCGAAUGAUGAGAAUAUCAGAAUAUGCCCGUCCGCAAUAGGAGGUAGUUGACACCGCUAGACUUCCUAUUGCGGACUAGUGUAUCGCGGACCUACAUGGCUCAUGCAAUCGCUUGGACUCCAGGCCUUAACCCGUUCGCCGUUGGACGGAAUUAAAAUCUUCUGCUCCUCUACUGCGAGGUAUUAAAUAUCUUGUGGGAUGCAACACCGGCCAGCAGAAGGAUUCUGAUGAGAGGUCAAGAGAGUCUCGAUUGUGGGAGAAAGAGUACGAAAGAUUGAUUGAAGUGGGGGAGAAUGAUUCAACAAGAACCUGAGAUAUAGAAAAUGGAUAUGAAUAUAGGCAAGAAAUGUCUAUCUCUGAAUCUAGAGGUGAAUCAGAUCAAAUGAAUGAUACUAGUAUCUACAUCUUGAUGAGAAUGAUGAUGGAACACAUGGAAAAGCAGGACCAAAUGAUGAAAAGGCUCAUACAAAAACUGAGUGGAAACGCUGAUUCUGUAUCAAUAUGGGAUUGAAAGGAUAUUGUCAAGCAAAGGUAUGAUUUGAUGAAUCUACUGACCACUAGUAUGUAAGUCACUGCCGCUGCCGCUGCUGUCGCUGCCAUUGCUAUUUCCUUCAUCUACCGCAAGAACCUCUCCAAGAACCACCAUAAUGUCUGUGAGAAUCACUAUAAAUAUCAUCAUCAGAACCACCACGAGAUGACCAGGAUGAGAUGCACUGUCAAGAAUACUCUUGUCUUCCUCACUAACUGCCGCCACUACUAGUAAGCAGCGCCCAUCAGCAGGGGCCUACGGUACAGAAGGGCAGAUUGAUAUGAAGAAUAGAAUGAUAGAUUCAUUGAUAUAAUGGAUUUGAUUUGAUUGAUUGAUUUGAUUUUGUAACUUUAUGUAUAAUAGGAUCUCUAGAUAGAUAGUAUGUGCAUAACACUAGUCUCAGGGUAUGUGCC